rnacentral:lncRNA from 1 species
UGGUUGAGAAGAAAAGCUAAGCCGUCCUGUCAAUGGCUACAUGUAGUCACCCCAGUUCAAGUUUAUUUGUUCAGACCAUCAGUUGGUCCUUAGUGGCUUUUUUUUCUUUUUUCUGAAGAAGAUUGGCCCUAAGCUAACAUCUGUGCCGGUCUUUCUCUAUUUUGUGUGUGGGAGGCGGCCACCGCGUAGCUUGAUGAGCAGUGCUAGGUCUGUACCUGGGAUCUGAACCCAGGCACCUGGCCGCAGAAGUGGAGCACAGGAACUUAACCCCUAUGCCAUGCAGGUCAUCACUUGAUAUCCGUCCAUCAUUCAUGCUUUAGUGUAAAUUUUAAUUGGCUUGACAUCCACUAACACUGUCUCAGACUGGACUGAUCUAAGCUAAAAGCAGAUUUCACUGAAAGAGUGAAUACAAAGCGUGUUUGUUUGCUGAAGGAUAAAGGAAGCAGCAAGGAAAAGUUUUGCUGUGUGAAGAUCCCAUAGCCAGCCUCCUGCUGAAGACCGCUUAGCAAGUGGCUUUUUCCAAAAAGUAGGAUCAACCUGCCCCAUCAUGCUACUUCGAAAAGCCUGGAGUAACAGAACAAGGAGAGCAAAAUAAGAGGUUUGUCUGGCAGUUCCUCUCAUCUAUACCCAAUUCCACUUGAGAAUGUCAUCUUCUGCCCUACACUUGCACAGAAAACUUGAUCCAUAAAUGGAUAGCUUCCGGUCCAGGUUGCAAAUAGAAAACACGUACUAAAAUAUUUUUAGUGGGGUUCUGCCACCCACAUCUUUCCACAAAGAUCAUGUCUUGGGGAGAAUAGGGAGGAGAGGAAGAAAUGAAGCAUUUUGAGCUCCCCAAAGAUACCUACCCACAUGCAUUGAAAUACUAAUAAUUAAUAGCGUCCAAACUCCAAAAAAUGAGAAAGGCCUUUAAAUUAGAAGCCAUCUGUUUCUAUAAGCUUGUCCACUUGCCAUCAUAUAAAGAGAUUUGAAAUUGGUACUUGGGACUAUAUUUUAGUAUUUUGAUGUUUGCGUGUUAUAAUUUAUUGUCUCCUGGUUAAAAAAAAAAGAGGUGGUAAGUUUUUUUGCUUUGUUUGUUUAUCUAACAGGUUGCAUCAUACUAUAUCAGCUGUUCUUAAAGUGUGGCCUGAGACUAAAACCUUUUCAAUGGAUCAUGUAAUGCAGUCAAACUACUUUCAUAAUGAUAAUAACAUGAUUUGUCUUUAUCAUUCUCAUUCUUUCAUGAGUGUCCAAUGGAGUUUUCCAGAAGCAACAUGACGUGAUG